CGGAAUCAUUGGGCUUAAAGGCAACGCAGCCGGAACAGUGUGUGUUGUGUGAAAUCCCCCGGCUUAACCGGGGAAUUGCACAGCAAACUGCUGUUCUUGAGGCAGGUAGGGGUGCAUGGAACUCUUGGUGGAGCGGUGGAAUGCGUAGAUAUCAAGAGGAACGCCAGAGGUGAAGACGGUGCACUGGGCCUGUCCUGACGCUGAGGUGCGAAAGCGUGGGGAGCGAACGGGAUUAGAUACCCCGGUAGUUCACGCCGUAAACGAUGUCUACUAGGUCGUGGGUGUUCUGACACAUUCACGGCCGGAGCAAAAGUGUUUAGUAGACCGCCUGGGGAGUACGGCCGCAAGGUUAAAACUCAAACGAAUUGACGGGGGCUCACACAAGCGGUGGAGCAUGUGGAUUAAUUCGAAGCAACGCGCAGAACCUUACCUGGGUUUGACAUGCUUGGAUGCCUGCUCUGAAAGGAGUUAGGCUGCCUUCGAGUGAAACUUGCACAGGUGCUGCAUGGCUGUCGUCAGCUCGUGUCGUGAGAUGUCGGGUUAAGUCCUUUAACGAGCGAAACCCUUGCCGUUAGUGNCCAGCGAGUAAUGUCGGGGACUCUAACGGGACUGCCGGUGUAAACCGGAGGAAGGUGGGAUGACGUCNGUCCUCAUGGCCUU
rnacentral:rRNA from 1 species